rnacentral:rRNA from 1 species
GAUGAACGCUGGCGGCGUGCCUAAUACAUGCAAGUAGAACGCUGAAGCUUGGUGCUUGCACCGAGCGGAUGAGUUGCGAACGGGUGAGUAACGCGUAGGUAACCUGCCUCUUAGCGGGGGAUAACUAUUGGAAACGAUAGCUAAUACCGCAUAAAAGUCGACAUCGCAUGAUGUUGACUUGAAAGGUGCAAUUGCAUCACUAAGAGAUGGACCUGCGUUGUAUUAGCUAGUUGGUGAGGUAACGGCUCACCAAGGCGACGAUACAUAGCCGACCUGAGAGGGUGAUCGGCCACACUGGGACUGAGACACGGCCCAGACUCCUACGGGAGGCAGCAGUAGGGAAUCUUCGGCAAUGGGGGCAACCCUGACCGAGCAACGCCGCGUGAGUGAAGAAGGUUUUCGGAUCGUAAAGCUCUGUUGUAAGAGAAGAACGAGUGUGAGAGUGGAAAGUUCACACUGUGACGGUAACUUACCAGAAAGGGACGGCUAACUACGUGCCAGCAGCCGCGGUAAUACGUAGGUCCCGAGCGUUAUCCGGAUUUAUUGGGCGUAAAGCGAGCGCAGGCGGUUAGAUAAGUCUGAAGUUAAAGGCUGUGGCUUAGCCAUAGUACGCUUUGGAAACUGUUUAACUUGAGUGCAGAAGGGGAGAGUGGAAUUCCAUGUGUAGCGGUGAAAUGCGUAGAUAUAUGGAGGAACACCGGUGGCGAAAGCGGCUCUCUGGUCUGUAACUGACGCUGAGGCUCGAAAGCGUGGGGAGCAAACAGG